rnacentral:rRNA from 1 species
GACGAACGCUGGCGGCGUGCCUAACACAUGCAAGUCGAACGCGUGAGCUUUGUGCUUGCACUUGUUAGAUGCGUGGCGCACGGUUGAGUUAUACAUCAGUAGCCUGCCUUUCAUUCUGGGAUAAGCCUGGGAAACUGCGUCUACUACUUGCUACGACAUCCCACCGCAUGCUGCAGUGUGGAAAGGGGUUUACUGCUUUUGGAUGCGCUCACGGCGUAUCAGCUUGUUGGCGGGGUAAUGGCCCACCAAGGCGGCGACGGGUAGCCGGCCUGAGAGGGUGACCAGCCUCACUGGUACUGAGAGAGGGCCCAGAGUCCUACGGGGGACAGCAGUGGAGAAUAUUGCACAACGCGCGCACGCCUGAUGCAACGACGCUGCGUGGGGGAAGACGGCCUUUGGGUUGAAAAAAUCUUGGAGAACGGAAGAAGCGAAAGUGACGGUACGUGCAGAAGAAGCGCCGGCUAACUACGUG